ACACUCACACUCACCACUGAAUCUGUGCCGGACAUUUCUUGGGUAACAGUAAAGCUGGGCGACUCGGCUCUUCUCCCCUGUAAGUGGAAAUGCUCUGGUUUGAGCACAUGGACUGUGACUGAUAAACAGGCUCCUGUGGCUGGGUGUAAUCAGACAUCAUGCUGGUCAGAGGAGGGAUUCAUCAUUUCUCACGAUCAGUACCUGAAAGGGAUUCUCUCUCUCACCGUCACUACAGCUGAUUACAGUAGGCGUGGCUGGUACACGUGUCAGUGUGAUGGAAGAGAAAUCCGUACAGUGCGUCUCAGCAUUGAGACUUUCAUGUCAUCGGUUCAGCUAAAGACUGGUGAUCCUCUGUUAUUAGCUUUGUCAGUAACACAGCCAGUGGAGGUGACUUACAAAAGCAAUGAUUCAGCUGAUUCUUAUGGUGAAGAGAUCUGCACUGUGACUCAACACUCACUACAGUGUAAAGCUGAAUACACACACAGAGUGUCACUGAGUGCAGCAGAUUUCAUCCUGAAGAAAGUAAAGGUAUCUGAUGGAGGAGUUUAUCUCAUCAAGGACAGGUCGAAUAAUGAAGUCCUUCACAUUUAUACAGUAUAUGUGACAGAACAACAGCGCCCACUGUGGGUGAUUCUGUUAGUAACUGUGCCUGUGCUAAUUCUGCUUAAAAUGAUGAAGUCGUGCUGUCAGGGCAAUAAAUACUGAGCAGCUGAUCAGUCAUGCCGUUUGGAUUCAGUACGCUUCACUCAACAUUUCAUCCUGGGCAUCAAAAAACAGUGGACUAAGGUCCAAGUCAGAAGAUCUAAGAUCUGUUUGAGUCUCACUGGAUCGCUGAGACUGGGGAUCUACUGCAUCUACUGUUCACACCAAACAGGGAGCAGAAACUACAGACCUUUUUACUCCUCCUGUCAGGUCUGACACUUACAUCUAACAUCACCACAUUAUUCUUGAUCAUUCAUUAUACUGAUAUUGAUUAUUUAUUAUAUUGAUAUGAUAUUAUCUCUCACUCACUCACAUCAAAAU